UACGUAGGGUGCAAGCGUUGUCCGGAAUUAUUGGGCGUAAAGAGCUCGUAGGCGGCUUGUCGCGUCGACUGUGAAAUCCCGCGGCUCAACUGCGGGUCUGCAGUCGAUACGGGCAGGCUAGAGUUCGGUAGGGGAGACUGGAAUUCCUGGUGUAGCGGUGAAAUGCGUAGAUAUCUGGAGGAACACCGGUGGCGAAGGCGGCAUCCUGGACCGGCAUUGACGCUGAGGCGCGAAAGCCAGGGGAGCAAACGGG
rnacentral:rRNA from 1 species